rnacentral:rRNA from 1 species
AUUGAACGCUGGCGGCAGGCUUAACACAUGCAAGUCGAGCGGUAGCACAGGGGAGCUUGCCCCCUGGGUGACGCGCGGCGGACGGGUGAGUCAUGUCUGGGAAACUGCCUGAUGGCGGGGGAUAACUACUGGAAACGGUAGCUAAUACCGCAUAACGUCGCAAGACCAAAGAGGGGGACCUUCGGGCCUCUUGCCAUCCGAUGUGCCCAGAUGGGAUUAGCUAGUAGGUGGGGUAAUGGCUCACCUAGGCGACGAUCCCUAGCUGGUCUGAGAGGAUGACCAGCCACACUGGAACUGAGACACGGUCCAGACUCCUACGGGAGGCAGCAGUGGGGAAUAUUGCACAAUGGGCGCAAGCCUGAUGCAGCCAUGCCGCGUGUGUGAAGAAGGCCUUCGGGUUGUAAAGCACUUUCAGCGAGGAGGAAGGUGGUGAGCUUAAUACGUUCAUCAAUUGACGUUACUCGCAGAAGAAGCACCGGCUAACUCCGUG